UCACCACUAACUGGAUCACUAAAUGACGAUUUUCCGGAUCACUCAUCGUUUGAGGGGAAUUAACGAGUGUUGACUGAAGUUAUCUCCCCGUGUGAUAAUUUUCAAGACUUCACGUCCAGUACGUUACCGGCUGAGGAAGAGAGAGCUUCCCUCGUUAACAAUAUAUUCGUAGCUACUGUUGAAGUUUUGGUGAUUGCUGCCAGACUUCAUCAAAUUUGCAUGCACUUCUCCGCCACAUCUCAAUUGAUUAGAAAGACUUCCUCGACCAUUUGUUAAGUCACUUUAAUCUACCUACAGACUUAACAGACAGUCAAAACGUAAGUGCAUCUUUUUUCCACUACGUUCAGGCUUCGCUGGCAGUGGAAAGUGAUAUCAUUUUCACGAACACGCAAGAAUUUUCGACUCUCGGGUUUCAUUAAUCAGUAUUAUGAAAAGUUUCGUCAACUCAUGGGGCCUUAGAACAGAGACAGAGCUACUCGAGUAGAUACGGGAUAGGAAAUAUUGAUCUCUCCUACGGUCACCGCGCUCAUGUUAGGGAUCAUUAAUAAUGGUUUGAAGAGCUAUUGUGGAGAAAUGAAGAUCAGGUCCGAGAUUCUCGUUACAUAACGUUAAUUUUUGUCAAAAGCUGAGUAAUCAAGUUGGAAACAAUAAAACAAGGAGAAGAGUGGUUACAGCUGAUUAGUAAAAAUCUCAGAUUUAUUUGUGAAAUAGUCUAUAAAUACACAUCUUUUGAAUUAUUAAUUUUCUUGAACUUGAUAUACAGACCAGUCUUGAGGAAGAUUAUUUCCAUUCUUGCUUGUUGUGGCCUGAAAAAGACAAAGUCUGACAAACGAGAGCAGUCAGGG